AGUGAAUAGAUACCCGGGUAGUCCCAGCCGUAAACGAUGCUCGCUAGGUGUCAGGCAUGGCGCGACCGUGUCUGGUGCCGCAGGGAAGCCGUGAAGCGAGCCACCUGGGAAGUACGGCCGCAAGGCUGAAACUUAAAGGAAUUGGCGGGGGAGCACAACAACGGGUGGAGCCUGCGGUUUAAUUGGACUCAACGCCGGACAACUCACCGGGGGCGACAGCAAUAUGUAGGCCAGGCUGAAGACCUUGCCUGAAUCGCUGAGAGGAGGUGCAUGGCCGUCGCCAGUUCGUACUGUGAAGCAUCCUGUUAAGUCAGGCAACGAGCGAGACCCGUGCCCACUGUUACCAGCAUGUCCUCCGGGACGAUGGGUACUCUGUGGGGACCGCCGAUGUUAAAUCGGAGGAAGGUGCGGGCCACGGUAGGUCAGUAUGCCCCGAAUCUCCCGGGCUACACGCGGGCUACAAUGGAUGGGACAAUGGGUCCCUCCCUGAAAACGGGCUGGUAAUCUCACAAACCCAUUCGUAGUUCGGAUCGAGGGCUGUAAC
rnacentral:rRNA from 1 species